rnacentral:rRNA from 1 species
UACGUAGGGCGCAAGCGUUGUCCGGAAUUAUUGGGCGUAAAGAGCUCGUAGGCGGUUCGAUAAGUCGGACGUGAAAUCUCCACGCUCAACGUGGAGGGGCCGUUCGAUACUGUCGUGACUCGAGUCCGGUAGGGGAGUGUGGAAUUCCCGGUGUAGCGGUGAAAUGCGCAGAGAUCGGGAGGAACACCCGUAGCGAAGGCGGCACUCCUGGGCCGGUACUGACGCUGAGGAGCGAAAGCGUGGGGAGCAAAGCAGG